AGUGUCACAAAGACUGGCAGUGUGUGGUGAGAGCAGCCUGCGAGGCAGCACACAGAGAUCAGCUCUUCUGAAACCCUUCCAGACCUGCUGGUUCCUGUGCAGGGCUUCAGUCAGGUCUUUAAAGCAGCAGGGUAGAUGGACAAAUCCCUCUGCAUGGAUUUUUGGCAAACUGAGCUGGUUUGAAUAGAAUGGAGCUCAUGAACCAGUCCUGUUCUGACACUGUGCUGUUCAGAAUCAUGUACUUCAUCUCCACAAAAUUACAGCAAAAAGCCAUCACCCUUCCUGGGGAUUCAAUAUUCAAACACAAAUAACGCAUCUGAGGUCAUGAAGAUCCAUAAAAGUUGCCAACUUUCUGAACUUGGAGAAAUGCAGAAUGGGUGCACAACUUUGUGAAACACAGAAGGCUCUGAGUUCAGAGCUGCUCUUCCCAUCUCUGCCACAGAGCUGCAAUAUAAUGAACAUCAAAUGGGUCAAAAUCUGUAGUGAGAUUAAAGGACAAUUUUAAUAGUUUAUUCUGCAUCUGAUAUCCAAACCUGGAGAUCUUAUAAACAGCCUCUCUGAAUGUUUCACAAGGAAAUACCCUUCCCUAACAAUGUAUUAAAUAUCAGUAUAAAGAACACAAACCUA